GUCCACGGCAUUACUAUCAAAUCGAUCUCGAUAAAGCAAAAGAUAUUUCCUCAUUUGUUCUUAGAAACUCUUCACUUUAUGGGUUAUUCGUUACACGAGAAGUGCCCCCAGCAAUGUUCUCUUAGGUCAGUGGCUCCUGGCGUGGCGUAUAGCCUUAACAAUUUGAUUUCAUUUGAUAAUGAAUAUUAAAAGAAUAAAACUACGACGUUUCGAAGUCAUCUUGACUCCAUUAUCAAGAAGAGGUGUUAGCUGUAGUCUCGAGAUUAAAUACAAAUAAAGGUGAUAGAGUACAUUAGAAUAAUAAGUGUUUCGUUGUCAUUGGUGUUUAAUGUGACAGUGCGCGCGGUAUAUGUUGAAAUAAAUACUUUUGCACGUAGUCAGACUCAAUACGUACAAAAGUAUUUAUUUAAACAAAUACCGCACGCAUUGUCACGUCAAUAAAAUUUCAGAAAAAUGAAAGGCAAAAAGCCACUGUGUGGAGAAUUUUGCAACUACUAUUGCCAAAACCGGUGAAGAAACGGAGCUGAUGUUGGCUUCCAUUUCAUCGCGUUAAUUUGGUUUAACUUUUUUUGCGUUUCAUAUAGAAAUUAUACACUGUGAAGAUCCGGCAUUAGGGAACAACUCGUUUCCAGAUUUGAGAACCCCAAAGCGUAACCAAUAUGAAAACUCAACCAAGUGGUAUCUCAACAUAUCGUGGGAUCCCAUAUCAGAUUCUACAAACUCAACGGAAUACGGCUUCUUUUACUGGUGUCAUGAUGGCAAAAGUAGCCCAGGCUCGUUAAAGAUGCAAAAGUGAAAGUCCAUCUGCCAAUUGGAUAAAGAGGAAGAUCGUUUCAAUUUAAAUACAGUCAAACCUCUCCCCAACGGCCCCCUUGGUGACAGAGGAAAGAGGCCGUUGUAGAGAGGUGGUCGUUGUGGGGAGGUAGGGGUGUAAUAUGACACCUGUUUUAUCUGGGUGAACCUGU